GUUUGAGGCAAUAACAGGUCUGUGAUGCCCUUUAGAUGUUCUGGGCUGCACGCGCGCUACACUGAUGGGUUCAACAAGUAAUUUUUUUUCUUUAAAGGGGGGUCCUUUAAAAGGGAUUUUCUCUUUAAAGAAAAAUAUCCUUAACCGAAUGGUUUGGGUAAUCUUUUGAAACGCCAUCGUGAUUGGGAUAGAUUUUUGUAAUUAUUAAUCUUCAACGAGGAAUUC
rnacentral:rRNA from 1 species